rnacentral:rRNA from 1 species
UAUUGUAAAGGGAAAGGAACAAAGUAUCGUUUAGUGACUGGAUCGAACCGUUAACAGGUCCUUACCAGAAAAGCCACGGGGUAAUUACGGGGCCAAGCAGCGGCGGUAAAUACGUAGGUGGCAAGCGGUAUCCCGGAAUUAUUGGGCGGUAAAGCGCGCGUAGGGCGGUCUCUUAAGUCUGAUGUGAAAGCCCCCGGGCUCAACCGGGGGAGGGUCAUUGGAAACUGGGAGACUUGAGUGCAGGAAGAGGAGAGUGGAAUUCCAUGUGUAGCGGUGAAAUGCGCAGAGAUAUGGAGGAACCCCAGUGGGCGAAGGCGGCUCUUUGGUCUGUAACUGACGCUGAGGUGCGAAAAGCGUGGGGGAUCAAACAGGAUUAGAUACCCUGGUAGUCCACGCCGUAAACGAUGAGUGGUAAGUGUUGGGGGGUUUCCGCCCCUCAGUGCUGCAGCUAACGCAUUAAGCACUCCGCCUGGGGAGUACGGUCGCAAGACUGAAACUCAAAGGAAUUGACGGGGACCCGCACAAGCGGUGGAGCAUGUGGUUUAAUUCGAAGCAACGCGAAGAACCUUACCAAAUCUUGACAUCCUUUGACAACUCUAGAGAUAGAGCUUUCCCCUUCGGGGGACAAAGUGACAGGUGGUGCAUGGUUGUCGUCAGCUCGUGUCGUGAGAUGUUGGGUUAAGUCCCGCAACGAGCGCAACCCUUAUCUUUAGUUGCCAUCAUUAGGUUGGGCACUCUAGAGAGACUGCCGGUGACAAACCGGAGGAAGGUGGGGAUGACGUCAAAUCAUCAUGCCCCUUAUGAUUUGGGCUACACACGUGCUACAAUGGAUGGUACAAAGGGCAGCAAAACCGCGAGGUCAAGCAAAUCCCAUAAAACCAUUCUCAGUUCGGAUUGUAGUCUGCAACUCGACUACAUGAAGCUGGAAUCGCUAGUAAUCGUAGAUCAGCAUGCUACGGUGAAUACGUUCCCGGGUCUUGUACACACCGCCCGUCACACCACGAGAGUUUGUAACACCCGAAGCCGGUGGAGUAACCUUUUAGGAGCUAGCCGUCGGA